UACGGAGGGUGCAAGCGUUAUCCGGAUUUACUGGGUUUAAAGGGUGCGCAGGCGGGCCUUUAAGUCAGUGGUGAAAGCCCAGAGCUCAACUCUGGAAUUGCCAUUGAUACUGGAGGUCUUGAGUACAGUCGAGGUCGGCGGAAUGAGUCAUGUAGCGGUGAAAUGCUUAGAUAUGACUCAGAACACCGAUUGCGUAGGCAGCUGGCUAGACUGUAACUGACGCUCAGGCACGAAAGCGUGGGGAGCGAACAGG
rnacentral:misc_RNA from 1 species